AGUGAACGCUGGCGGUAGGCCUAACACAUGCAAGUCGAACGGCAGCACAGUAAGAGCUUGCUCUUACGGGUGGCGAGUGGCGGACGGGUGAGGAAUACAUCGGAAUCUACUUUUUCGUGGGGGAUAACGUAGGGAAACUUACGCUAAUACCGCAUACGACCUACGGGUGAGAGCAGGGGAUCUUCGGACCUUGCGCGAUUGAAUGAGCCGAUGUCGGAUUAGCUAGUUGGCGGGGUAAAGGCCCACCAAGGCGACGAUCCGUAGCUGGUCUGAGAGGAUGAUCAGCCACACUGGAACUGAGACACGGUCCAGACUCCUACGGGAGGCAGCAGUGGGGAAUAUUGGACAAUGGGCGAAAGCCUGAUCCAGCCAUACCGCGUGGGUGAAGAAGGCCUUCGGGUUGUAAAGCCCUUUUGUUGGGAAAGAAAAGCAGCAGGUUAAUACCCCGCUGUUCUGACGGUACCCAAAGAAUAAGCACCGGCUAACUUCGUG
rnacentral:rRNA from 1 species